GAUGAACGCUGGCGGCGUGCCUAAUACAUGCAAGUCGAGCGAACGGACGAGAAGCUUGCUUCUCUGAUGUUAGCGGCGGACGGGUGAGUAACACGUGGAUAACCUACCUAUAAGACUGGGAUAACUUCGGGAAACCGGAGCUAAUACCGGAUAAUAUUUUGAACCGCAUGGUUCAAAAGUAAAAGACGGUCUUGCUGUCACUUAUAGAUGGAUCCGCGCUGCAUUAGCUAGUUGGUAAGGUAACGGCUUACCAAGGCAACGAUGCAUAGCCGACCUGAGAGGGUGAUCGGCCACACUGGAACUGAGACACGGUCCAGACUCCUACGGGAGGCAGCAGUAGGGAAUCUUCCGCAAUGGGCGAAAGCCUGACGGAGCAACGCCGCGUGAGUGAUGAAGGUCUUCGGAUCGUAAAACUCUGUUGUUAGGGAAGAACAUAUGUGUAAGUAACUGUGCACAUCUUGACGGUACCUAAUCAGAAAGCCACGGCUAACUACGUG
rnacentral:rRNA from 1 species